rnacentral:misc_RNA from 1 species
GAUGAAGAACGUAGCGAAAUGCGAUAAGUAGUGUGAAUUGCAGAAUUCAGUGAAUCAUCGAAUCUUUGAACGCACAUUGCGCCCCUUGGUAUUCCAUGGGGCAUGCCUGUUCGAGCGUCAUUUGUACCCUCAAGCUCUGCUUGGUGUUGGGUGUUUGUCCCGCUUUGCGCGUGGACUCGCCUUAAAGCAAUUGGUAGCCGGCAUAUUGUCUCGGAGCGCAGCACAUUUUGCGCUUCUUUGCAUACAUGUUUGGUAUCCAGUAAGCCUUUACAUUUGCUCUUGACCUCGGAUCAGGUAGGGAUACCCGCUGAACUUAAGCAUAUCAAUAAGCGGAGGA